rnacentral:lncRNA from 1 species
GGAGGAACACAGGAUCUGUGACAGCGGAAAGCCAGAGGGCUGCAGGCACGGGGCAGAGGGGAGGGGAACCACCACUUCCCCCAGUUGUCACAGCAGGGAGACAUCCUCCAAGGGCUGCACUGAAGAUACUUGCGCAAGGAAGAAUUCAGCGUUUAUGGAUAUGCCCCUUGGAGGACUGAGGCCAUCAGAAGAAGACCCGUAAGUCAUUAAAACACUCUUGACUCCGAGAAGCUGUCUGCCCUGGACUCUGGAACCAUUGCACCAGGAGGAUCUGCAGCAACACUUCGGACUGCGAGCAGACCACCAGCUGCACAGCAGCCUCUGCUCUAAGCACAACUGGAGCUGAGUUGUCCCAGAGGAAACCACUACCGAUUCAGCUCUAGAGAGAGCUGCUUUAGCAGUAUUAAACACUGUGCAUUGAAUAGACAGUUCCAAAAUAAGAUGAUCUAGAACAACAUGGAAAUUCCAGCAUCCUUAACUAGCUGCUCAAAAAAAAUAAAAGUCCUGUCAGUAUAAUUUUGCUUUGUUUGGUUCUGCAGCUUCAGAUAUCUUGUUUCCCUGUUUAUUUUCUUGCUUCCAGGCAUAGAGUGUUG